UGAACCUGCAAUGAAAUAUGAAAUAAGUAAGGCCAUAUGUUACAGUGGUAGAUUCUACCAAGUGAAUAGGCCUUCAAAUAAAGACACAAGCCAGCUGAGCAGUGAACGUGGUGCACAAAGCAUGAGUGGACAAAAAGACCACCCCUAAGCAUUUUUGGAGCUUGAAAAAACUGUUUUUAUUCUUUCUUUCCAUAUUUCUGCUUCUUGUAGGCAGAGUUCAAAAUACUGGGAUUGAACCAAACUAAUUGAACAUCGCUUAAAAUCCUGCUAAAAUUGAGCACUGUCUAUUUCAUUAUGCUGUAAUAGGAAACUAUACUGCAAUGAUCAGUGUGUGGUCCGUUGAUAUGCAAAAACUGACAAUAUAAUCUGUAAUAUAUGCUCAUUAUAUCAAUAAACAAAUACAGUAAAGACG